rnacentral:rRNA from 1 species
UAGGGAAUCUUCCACAAUGGACGAAAGUCUGAUGGAGCAACGCCGCGUGAGUGAAGAAGGGUUUCGGCUCGUAAAACUCUGUUGUUAAAGAAGAACAUAUCUGAGAGUAACUGUUCAGGUAUUGACGGUAUUUAACCAGAAAGCCACGGCUAAACUACGUGCCAA